rnacentral:misc_RNA from 1 species
CUCGAAUAUAUCACCUCCACUAUUUUUUCCCUGCUGCAGGUUGCCGCGUAUCGUGUGACCACCUUUAGUCACGGCACAAUGACAGCACUCGCCGAUGAAGUGAGGGAAAAGUACUCGCUGUCGCUGUCGUCUGACUACAUCGAACGGUGCGUGCAGGCGAAGACGUCGAUAACCUCCCUGGAACUGUACCAGAAAUCGCUUUGGGAGAAUUUGCGCGACAUCUGCGGCACGAGCCUGCUGCCCUACGGCAUCGGUGCCCAGGUUUCUGCUACCCUUCCCAAUGCUGUUGUCAUGCAAAUCAACGCAUCACGAGACGCGACGCAGCCGUUGCGGCCCUGCGCGGACGUCUCUGAUGACGAAGCCAUUCUCAACGCGGCCUUUCAGCGGAACUCCAGCAAACGACUGCUGAGGUUGCAGCUGACUGACGGAAAUGUCGAGAUCCCAGCACUGGAACUCUCUACCUUGCGUGUGUUUCAGGGAAUCCCAACCCCCGGUGAGAAGGUGCUCAUUCACAAGGACGCCGAGGUGCGCAACGGCUGCAUCAUCUUGUCCGAAAGCAACGUCUCCCUGCUCGGUGGUGAGGUGCAUCAGUUGAAGCAGGACUUCCUCGCUCACCGUCGCCGACUAGAGGUUGGCUACCAGACGAGCAACGGCCUCGAUGGGGCGCCUCGUUUUGCUCCGCUGGAGGUGGGGCACCACUAUCGCAGUAGUGUGGCGCACAGCGGUGCCCCGGCUGACAUAGAGUAUCAAGGUGGAGCUUCACCGUACCACGCGAACGAGCGCAGCGGUAUGCGCGGCAACUAUUCUCACAACGGCUGCGGUGGCGGCCGCGCCCAGCAAGUAGGCGGCAACUAUGGGGAACGUGGUAGUGCCGGCGAGCACGGCAGGGGGGGAGGCCGGAGAGGUCGGGGCGGCCGCGGUGUGGACGGUUCUUACGGCGGCGAUGGUUGGCGAGGUCAUGAAAGGGGCGGUGGCGGAUAUGGCAGGCGAGGUGGUGGUGGCGGCGGCGACUCCCGCGGCCGUGCCGGGGGUGCGUCUUAUCACGUUGACACGGCGAACUUCCAACCGCUGGCGAAGUUUCCGGAGAUUAACGAGGCGAAUUUUCCGCGGCUGGUAUGAGGCGGAGCGCGCCUUCUCGCCAUGAAGGUACGUGCCGAGCGGGACGUAGGAUGCUACUGCAGGACUGGCGAGUCUGCGCCGUAUCUUUGGCUUGCGCUUAAAUGCCGUUGCGGAGAUGGACAUUCGCAUCAACAC